UACGGAGGGGGCUAGCGUUGUUCGGAAUUACUGGGCGUAAAGCGCACGUAGGCGGACCAGCAAGUUGGGGGUGAAAUCCCGGGGCUCAACCCCGGAACUGCCUUCAAAACUGCGGGUCUGGAGGUCGAGAGAGGUGAGUGGAAUUCCGAGUGUAGAGGUGAAAUUCGUAGAUAUUCGGAGGAACACCAGUGGCGAAGGCGGCUCACUGGCUCGAUCACUGACGCUGAGGUGCGAAAGCGUGGGGAGCAAACAGG
rnacentral:rRNA from 1 species